rnacentral:rRNA from 1 species
AUUGAACGCUGGCGGCAUGCUUUACACAUGCAAGUCGAACGGCAGCGCGGGCUUCGGCCUGGCGGCGAGUGGCGAACGGGUGAGUAAUACAUCGGAACGUGCCCAGUAGUGGGGGAUAGCUCGGCGAAAGCCGGAUUAAUACCGCAUACGACCUGAGGGUGAAAGCGGGGGAUCUUCGGACCUCGCGCUAUUGGAGCGGCCGAUGGCAGAUUAGCUAGUUGGUGGGGUAAAGGCCUACCAAGGCGACGAUCUGUAGCUGGUCUGAGAGGACGACCAGCCACACUGGGACUGAGACACGGCCCAGACUCCUACGGGAGGCAGCAGUGGGGAAUUUUGGACAAUGGGCGAAGCCUGAUCCAGCAAUGCCGCGUGUGUGAUGAAGGCCUUCGGGUUGUAAAGCACUUUUGGCGGGAACGAAAAGGACUGUGCCAAUACCACGGUUCGAUGACGGUACCCGCAGAAUAAGCACCGGCUAACUACGUG